rnacentral:rRNA from 1 species
UACGGGAGUGGCAAGCGUUAUCCGGAAUUAUUGGGCGUAAAGCGUCCGCAGGCGGUUUUACAAGUCUGUCGUUAAAGCGUGGAGCUUAACUCCAUUUCAGCGAUGGAAACUGUAAGACUAGAGUGUGGUAGGGGCAGAGGGAAUUCCCGGUGUAGCGGUGAAAUGCGUAGAUAUCGGGAAGAACACCAGUGGCGAAGGCGCUCUGCUGGGCCAUAACUGACGCUCAUGGACGAAAGCCAGGGGAG